GCCCCAGACUCCUACGGGAGGCAGCAGUGGGGAAUAUUGCACAAUGGGGGAAACCCUGAUGCAGCGACGCCGCGUGAGUGAAGAAGUAUUUCGGUAUGUAAAGCUCUAUCAGCAGGGAAGAAAAUGACGGUACCUGACUAAGAAGCCCCGGCUAACUACGUGCCAGCAGCCGCGGUAAUACGUAGGGGGCAAGCGUUAUCCGGAUUUACUGGGUGUAAAGGGAGCGUAGACGGCGAUGCAAGUCAGAAGUGAAAGCCCGCGGCUCAACUGCGGGACUGCUUUUGAAACUGUCAGGCUGGAGUACAGGAGAGGUAAGCGGAAUUCCUAGUGUAGCGGUGAAAUGCGUAGAUAUUAGGAGGAACACCAGUGGCGAGGGCGGCUUACUGGACUGUAACUGACACUGAGGCACGAAAGCGUGGGGAGCAAACAGGAUUAGAUACCCUCGUA
rnacentral:rRNA from 1 species